UGUCUGCUUUGGCUCUGCAUUUUGAGAGCAAAGCCUGUGACAACAUAUAUACCAAGCUGUGUCAAUCCUUUCCUUUCAUCCAGGCAACAUUAAUGCUUCAGGAAAUGCCACUAAAUUCAUCUUUUCCUCAGGGCACCAAUUUUCUCAGAUGAUGAGGAUGAUGAUGAUGAUUCUGAGUAUCAAAGACGGACGCUUCAAAAGCCUCCUCUUGUCGUUCAGUUUCCAAAAGAGAGAGCAUCUCAACCCCACUUGUCUUCUCCAGAGCCAAGUAGAUAUCCACAACCAACUGACAUUCAUUAUACGCCAAAAGAAAGAAGUGCAAAUGUAGCUCCUCCCAACCUGUCAGGAAAAUCUGAACAGUUGUUGCAUGAGGCCCUCGGGGCACUGAAGCAAGGUGCCACUUCCUUGUUAAAUAGGUAUCAUAAUUCCUAUUUCUGGAAUAUAAAACCCUUACCUCUAAUCAAGACAAACUAGAAAAGUUCCAGAUCAACAGCUAUUCACUGCGAUUGAAAAAAAUUGAGAGGAACAGUCCCAGCAGAGGGAAAUACUGCAGUCUAUACUGCAGCUAAUUCAAAAUAUUCCAUCCUCAUCCUCCAUUUCGGAGACAAGAAAUCUCCCCAACACAAUUCAUUUCCCUUGUGAGAGUCAAGAGGAUGUUGAGGCUUUGGAAGUGCGGUUCAAAAUAACAUGGGGCUGUUUGCAAGACUAUAAAAAAUGCAACAGAAGCAGAGUUUGAGUUAGUGAUCCGAGAAUGGCUUCGGACUGCCAGUGACAGAAAUGGUGGCUGAAGGAGAAGAGAAAAAAAAUUUGGACAAGUCUGCUCUUGACAAUGAAUCUGUCACAGAUCAUGGGUCUGCCCAAAUUGAAAAUUAAGAUAACUCAUUUACAGGUUACCUCAGUUUUUUAAGGUAAUCCAUUUUAGCAAGGCACUGGUAACAAUAGGCUGAAUACAUGGUUUUGUCUUCCAUCCAAAUUACUCAUUCACCAGGUUAGUAAGUAAUACUCCUAUCUGUGGUUUCAAAUACAAUUUUAUUGAUGAUAUUUCUCAAUUUAAUGUGUUUUUCUUAUUUCUGCAUAUUCUAAAUAUAUUUAUUUUUAACAAAUCUCCUAAAUUUUAAGUCACAAAAUCGAACCCUAAAAUGAAUACCAUUACUCUUUAUUUACUGGUCUUUAUGUGCAGAUAUGAAUGUUUGUUGAUCUUUGUCACAAAUGGCCACAGCUGUAUAAGUGACCUUAACACCAAUUAAAAAAAUAUCUUAGUUUUACAGUGUAUA
rnacentral:lncRNA from 1 species